ACGCUGGUCCUCUGUGUGUCGCCUCCUCUUCCUCCACGACACCUCCGCGUACUCACAGACAACAGCCGCUGGAAGCGCCUCGGUCGUCAUCGUCAUCGUCACCUCCACCAGUUCCACGAUCUGGCCACGUCACCGGGAGAAAGCCUUUUGCAGUGUUGUAGGGCCGCCGGGGAGUUGCGCAAGGGGCCGGGAGUCUCCGGGGAUGCCGGCACUGCCUCGUCUCAUCUCUCCCUCUUUCUCUCUCCAUCUCAGUUUAUGGAAAGAUAGAUACGAGAAUAAGUUAUUAUGUACGUGCUCCUCCCUUGCAGGAACACAGAGUUGUGCAGCUGGUGGUGUCUUGACCAAGGAUUGUCGUGAUGAGCAUCCAUUGAUGGCACUGCCUCCUCCUCCAUAUCAUGCCCAGGUACCUAUCUUUGGUGUUGAUUGUCUCCUCACAUUUCUGUGAGAGCUUUGGUUAAUAGCAGAUAUCUUGGGAGUUCAGAAUACUCUGUUUUGGUGACUCAAGAAAGAAAGAAACCCAAGAUCUCCUGAUAUUUAUGAGAAACCAUAUGAUGAAUACCUGAUAUAUUGCACAUUGCAUGUAUCAGUUACAUCCUGAUUGUAAUAUCAGCCACAGGUCACACACAUGGUUUGUUUUAUGUCUCUAUAUUGUCACAAUGAUGGACUGGUAUAACCGUAUAAGGUAUAUGAAAAUCUGCACACAUCUUGACAUAUCUGCAUACAUGAAUGACUAAUACUGCCAUUUUCCCAUUCUCUUGCUGAUGUUUACAUAAUACUUUGCCUUUUCAAGUCUACAAAUGUUUUCUCCUCUGCAGACCAUAGAGGGAUGCGUCACAUGACACUCAAUGCCAUGUUUUCAUUGUACUAGAAAAACUGAUUGUCCUGAUCAGUUUUGUUCAUAACCGUAUCUUGAAGAUAAAAGGCAAAAUAAUCCGGUUCCCAACAUUCAAAUUUCGUAAUCCAGCUUAAGUAGUUAAACACUUUUAGUUGUUCUCCUUAAAGUUACAUUAUGUGCCAUUUAAUCUAACCAUUACGAUCAAAUUGUCUCCAGGGUUAGGUACCCAGAUCGUAUUUUAAUACGAGGAAAUCAUGAGCAGGCAGAUCAGACAAGUUAUGGCGUCUAUGAUGAGUGUCUUCGUAAAUACGGCUCGGUGAAUGUGUGGAGAUGUUGCAGAGAAAUAUUCGACUAUUUAAGUUUGUCUGCACUUAUCGAGAACAAAAUCUUCAAUGUCCAUGUAGGCCUUUCCCUUGCUAUUACGGCACUGGAUCAGAAAGGUGCCUCAUGAUGGUGUGUGUGACCGUCUUUGGUCUGAUCCAGAGGGUGUUGUAGAUGGUUUCUUUACCAGAUUGCGUGCACUUCUAUUUGCAAUAUGAUUGAAGAUGCAAAGAAGGGUUUGAUUUCACCUCCUGUAACGACAAUGAUCAAGAUGUACACUGCCAGGAAGAAGAUAAGGGCAUCGAGCCCUCCGAAUUCGAGGCUACCGUCGCGCAUGUUUUAUUUCACUUGGAGAAAGACAAUCAAGAGCUCAAGGGUGACCUUAAGGACAUGUACAUCAACACUGCAAUAUAAGUACCGUAUGCGCAAGGGCUUCAGGAAGAUACACGGCGGAUUCUUGUGUCGUACCAAAUAGAUCGGAUUUAUUUGUAGAUUAGUUUUUUGGCAUCUGCGUUGUUGUGAUGUUCAUGGUUGUUGAUUUCAGUCUGUAGUAACCAGCUCUUCUCUCUUGUUAGUGUUUUUGCAUGGAAUUCGAUAUGCCUGUGUUGACUAGGAACGGUUGUCAGUGCCUUUAAUCAGUCAUCCAUCUUGUAAGAUUGUCACCUCUCUAUUAAUAGACCUAUGAUCUUCCUCUGCUUUA